AUAAAUAUUUAACGGCCGCGGUACUCUGACCGUGCAAAGGUAGCAUAAUCAUUUGCCUUAUAAUUGAAGGCUAGCAUGAAUGGUUUGAUGAGAACAAAGCUGUCUCCUUUUAAUUUUAUAAAACUUGAUUUUUGGGUGAAGAAGCCCAAAUAAAAUUGAUAGACGAGAAGACCCUAUCGAGCUUAAAAAAAUUUUAUUAAAAUAAAAUUUGCUUGCAAAAGACUAAUUAUAAUAAAAAAUUUUAGUUGGGGCGACUAAGGAACAAUAAAGCUUCCAUUUUUAAUAUUAUAGCAUAUUAGCUAUGAUCCAAAAUUUUUGAUUAAAAGAAUUAGUUACCGUAGGGAUAACAGCAUAAUCUUUUUUGAGAGUUCUUAUCGAA
rnacentral:rRNA from 1 species